CCCAUCAGAACCACUCGAUCACC
rnacentral:siRNA from 1 species